UCUUGGAUUGGGCCGAUGAUCAUCAUGGGAUCACACUUCCCAACCUGAGGUUUUUCCAGAUCAUCUCUGAGAGAGUCUAUUCUCAAAUGGCUAAUCUGGGGGGCUAUUUGAGCUCGCCUACGACUUCUGCAUUCAAUGGUCUGGCAGUCAACAAAAUGCUUGCUCCCAGCUAUGAAUGAACAAAUAUAUGAUGGAAAUUGCAUUAUCUUUUGCGUGGAGGAACCUGAUGGCAGGGGUUGGGGAUGGCAGCGAUAGAGAACUUCAAUACUUUCCGGCUGCAAACUGGUAUUAUAAGACAAUCUUGUAAUACCUAUAUAAA